rnacentral:rRNA from 1 species
AUGAACGCUAGCUACAGGCUUAACACAUGCAAGUCGAGGGGCAGCAUUUUAGUUUGCUUGCAAACUAAAGAUGGCGACCGGCGCACGGGUGAGUAACACGUAUCCAACCUGCCGAUAACUCGGGGAUAGCCUUUCGAAAGAAAGAUUAAUAUCCGAUAGUAUAUUAAAACCGCAUGGUUUUACUAUUAAAGAAUUUCGGUUAUCGAUGGGGAUGCGUUCCAUUAGUUUGUUGGCGGGGUAACGGCCCACCAAGACUACGAUGGAUAGGGGUUCUGAGAGGAAGGUCCCCCACAUUGGAACUGAGACACGGUCCAAACUCCUACGGGAGGCAGCAGUGAGGAAUAUUGGUCAAUGGACGAGAGUCUGAACCAGCCAAGUAGCGUGAAGGAUGACUGCCCUAUGGGUUGUAAACUUCUUUUAUAUGGGAAUAAAGUAUUCCACGUGUGGAAUUUUGUAUGUACCAUAUGAAUAAGGAUCGGCUAACUCCGUGCCAGCAGCCGCGGUAAUACGGAGGAUCCGAGCGUUAUCCGGAUUUAUUGGGUUUAAAGGGAGCGUAGGUGGAUUGUUAAGUCAGUUGUGAAAGUUUGCGGCUCAACCGUAAAAUUGCAGUUGAAACUGGCAGUCUUGAGUACAGUAGAGGUGGGCGGAAUUCGUGGUGUAGCGGUGAAAUGCUUAGAUAUCACGAAGAACUCCGAUUGCGAAGGCAGCUCACUAGACUGCAACUGACACUGAUGCUCGAAAGUGUGGGUAUCAAACAGGAUUAGAUACCCUGGUAGUCCACACAGUAAACGAUGAAUACUCGCUGUUUGCGAUAUACAGUAAGCGGCCAAGCGAAAGCAUUAAGUAUUCCACCUGGGGAGUACGCCGGCAACGGUGAAACUCAAAGGAAUUGACGGGGGCCCGCACAAGCGGAGGAACAUGUGGUUUAAUUCGAUGAUACGCGAGGAACCUUACCCGGGCUUAAAUUGCAUUUGAAUAUUCUGGAAACAGGUUAGCCGCAAGGCAAAUGUGAAGGUGCUGCAUGGUUGUCGUCAGCUCGUGCCGUGAGGUGUCGGCUUAAGUGCCAUAACGAGCGCAACCCUUAUCUUUAGUUACUAACAGGUCAUGCUGAGGACUCUAGAGAGACUGCCGUCGUAAGAUGUGAGGAAGGUGGGGAUGACGUCAAAUCAGCACGGCCCUUACGUCCGGGGCUACACACGUGUUACAAUGGGGGGUACAGAAGGCAGCUACCUGGCGACAGGAUGCUAAUCCCAAAAACCUCUCUCAGUUCGGAUCGAAGUCUGCAACCCGACUUCGUGAAGCUGGAUUCGCUAGUAAUCGCGCAUCAGCCAUGGCGCGGUGAAUACGUUCCCGGGCCUUGUACACACCGCCCGUCAAGCCAUGAAAGCCGGGGGUACCUGAAGUACGUAACCGCAAGGAGCGUCCUAGGGUAAAACUGGUAAUUGGGGCU